rnacentral:rRNA from 1 species
GUGGGGAAUAUUGGACAAUGGGCGAAAGCCUGAUCCAGCCAUGCCGCGUGUGUGAAGAAGGUCUUCGGAUUGUAAAGCACUUUAAGUUGGGAGGAAGGGCAGUAAGUUAAUACCUUGCUGUUUUGACGUUACCAACAGAAUAAGCACCGGCUAACUUCGUGCAAGCAGCCGCGGUAAUAGGAAGGGUGCAAGCGUUAAUCGGAAUUACUGGGCGUAAAGCGCGCGUAGGUGGUUCAGCAAGUUGGAGGUGAAAUCCCCGGGCUCAGCCUGGGAACUUCCGCCAAAACUACUGAGCUAGAGUAGGGUAGAGGGUAGUGGAAUUUCCUGUGUAGAGGUGAAAUGCGUAGAUAUAGGAAGGAACACCAGUGGCGAAGGCGACUACCUGGACUGAUACUGACACUGAGGUGCGAAAGCGUGGGGAGCAAACAGGAUUAGAAACCCUAGUAGUCC